rnacentral:rRNA from 1 species
AUGCGCAGCAAGAGCUCCUUUUUCAACUGGUUCUACAUGUCCAUCAACGUCGGCGCCCUCGUCGCCUCCUCGAUGCUCGUCUGGGUCCAGAUGAACGUCGGAUGGGGCUGGGGAUUCGGCAUCCCCGCCGCCGCCAUGGCCGUCGCCGUCGUCAGCUUCCUCAUGGGCAGCAGGCUCUACAGGUACCAGAAGCCCGGGGGCAGCCCGCUCACCAGGAUGCUGCAGGUCGUGGUCGCCGCCUGCAGGAAGUCGCAUGUCCCCCUCCCCGCCGACGCCUCCCUGCUGCACGAAGUCGCCUCGCCCGACGGCAAGGCCGCCAUCGAGGGCAGCAGGAGGCUGGAGCACACGGAUCAGCUGAGGUGCCUGGACAAGGCCGCCGUGCUUGUGACGACGCCCGGGCCCGGCGGCGCUCAAGAGGAAAACCCGUGGAGGCUGUGCACGGUGACGCAGGUGGAGGAGCUCAAGAGCAUGGUGCGGCUGCUGCCGGUGUGGGCGAGCGGCAUCGUCAUGUCGGCGGUGUACAGCCAGAUGAGCACCAUGUUCGUGCUCCAGGGCAACACCCUGGACCCGCGCAUGGGCGCCUCCUUCAAGAUCCCCGCCGCCUCGCUCUCCAUCUUCGACACCAUCGCCGUCAUCGUGUGGGCGCUCGCCUACGACCGGCUCAUCGUCCCCGCCGCACGCCGGAUCACGGGCCACCCGCGCGGGUUCACGCAGCUGCAGCGCAUGGGCAUCGGCCUGGUGAUAUCCAUCUUCUCCAUGGUGGCCGCCGGGGUGCUGGAGGUUGUCAGGCUCCACGUCGCCGCCACACACGGCAUGCUGGACUCCAAGGAGUACCUGCCCAUGUCCAUCUUCUGGCAGGUGCCGCAGUACUUCAUCGUGGGCGCGGCGGAGGUGUUCACGUUCGUGGGGCAGAUCGAGUUCUUCUACGACCAGUCGCCGGACGCCAUGAGGAGCAUGGGGUCGGCGCUGUCGCUCACGUCCAACGCGCUGGGCAACUACCUGAGCACGCUGCUGGUGGUGAUCGUGACGGCCAUCUCCACCAGGAACGGCGGCCUCGGGUGGAUCCCGGAUGACAACCUCAACCGGGGGCACCUCGACUACUUCUACUGGGUGCUGGCCGUGCUCAGCGCCCUCUAA